rnacentral:rRNA from 1 species
GACCCAGACUCCUACGGGAGGCAGCAGUGGGGGAUAUUGCACAAUGGGCGCAAGCCUGAUGCAGCGACGCCGCGUGAGCGAAGAAGUCUUUCGGUAUGUAAAUCUCUAUCAGCAGGGAAGAAAAUGACGGUACCUGACUAAGAAGCUCCGGCUAAAUACGUGCCAGCAGCCGCGGUAAUACGUAUGGAGCAAGCGUUAUCCGGAUUUACUGGGUGUAAAGGGAGCGUAGGCGGCAUGGUAAGUCUGAUGUGAAAAUUUGGGGCUCAACCCCAAACGUGCAUUGGAAACUGCUAAGCUUGAGUGCCGGAGAGGCAAGCGGAAUUCCUAGUGUAGCGGUGAAAUGCGUAGAUAUUAGGAGGAACACCAGUGGCGAAGGCGGCCUGCUGGACGGUAACUGACGCUGAGGCUCGAAAGCGUGGGGAGCAAACAGGAUUAGAUACCCUCGUAA